rnacentral:ncRNA from 2 species
ACUCGGGGCGACGACUGGCGAGGGUGGACCACCACCGGGGAGUCAACGAGGGAGCGCAUCGCCCGCCUGGGUGCACCCG